UAUAGAUACAGGCAGCAAUGCACUGUACACACUCGGGUACUGAUGUUUUCAUUAAGCGUAUUUUUAAGUACGCCAGUCCGAGUGGGCCACCCUAACGGGUGGUUUUUUUCUGAG
rnacentral:ncRNA from 1 species